UUGCUGUUUAUUGAUUCAUUGCUGGUUAUUGAUUGAUUUAUGCAAUUUGAUGUCAGUUCAAGUGAAAAUAUGGGCGACACUGGAUUUGGUGUUAAAACUGAAA